UGGGGCAGCUACUAAGUGCUGGUAAGGCAAAAAUAGAAGAUCACUUGAUAAAAAACAUUAGGGCGCUGGACUUCAGAUAGUUACAUCAGAUACAUUAGGGUAACGCCAGCAUCUAUUAAAACAGCUCAAAGUAGGUUAGGUAGAAUUUAAGGGCAAUGCUCAUUUUCAAAUGUUCCAUACGCAUGUUUUUUACAGAGAUUCUGGAUGAUAUUGUUUUUGUUUGACAAUUGAUUUUGAUAUUGUGUUAUUAUUAUGUGAUAACUUUUAUUAUUAUUAUUUUUUUUUUUUUUUUUUUCAUGGCUUUAUUGAAGGUACCCCCUCCCUUACCUCACAAAUCCUUGGGGACACUCAGCUGUUACCAUCUGUGUUAUGGACAUUUAUGAAAUUUUAUCACUGGUUGUUUCAAAAAUUUCACUCAUCCCCCAAGAAUUUCUGGGGAUAAACUGUCAAAUUUCAUACAAAUUCAUUCCAACACCAAUUCAACAUCAACACUACUAGGCUUCCUCAUAGCCUCCUUAUAGGCUUCCUCAUUGUCUCAUUAUAGGCUUCCUCAUAGCCUCAUAGGCAUGAUAGCCUCUAGGAAUGAUAGCCUCAUAGGCUUCCUGAUAGCCUCAUGCAUUUAUUUUGAACCAUCGUUCCAAUUGGAUUGGUGUGAUGUCAAGCCAGGGGUCUAUACUUUGCUACUUUUCAGUAUGCACAUAGCUAGGCUCUUGGUUUAGGCAUGGAGCAAAAAAUUAAAUUUUUUAGCUGAGUAGUUUCCCCAAGGGCCAAAUUAUAAUUGUGAUGUAUAUAUAUAAAAUAAAAGUUGCAAUUAAAUUAUGAUUUAUGUUUAAUUCAAACAUGGAUACCAAUGGCAUUGCUACACAGUAUUUCCCAGGAGUUUAUUUACAAGAUAGGUUAUAGCAGGAAAAAUUAGGUUGAUAAUAAUGUGAGCACUAAAUCCUUAAUUUUACAUAUCAUGAGUUCAAAUGGUGUGUUCUGAAAGAAAUCAGGGGUAAUUAAAUUAUUUAAAUUACUAUGAAAUUACUAUGAACUCAUUAUGUGUGACUUUGAGGAUUUUGUUCACUGACACAUUUAUUAGCAAAAUUAAAAUAUAGGGCAG
rnacentral:lncRNA from 1 species